UGCCUUUGUGGUGAGAUAAAUGAGGGGAAUGACACAGACAUUGUGACAAAGCGUUAGGCUAGUAUUGCUCUUCCACGGAUGCCUCAGAAGGAGGACCUCUGCUCCCUGACUAUCGUUGACCGCAGGUGUUGAUGACGCAAGCAAACAUGCGAAAUAUGUACCAGCUUGGACCCACUCCUCAAGGGGAAGCUGAGGCUUCAGCUCUCAGAAGAUGAGUGAAAGAUGAUGGCUGAUCUGGAGCAUCUUCGCUGAGGACAAAACGAGAUAGAUGACGCUUUGGAGACAUCUUUCUGGGGACCUGGGAGGAGGGGCAGAGAGAGAAGGAGACAGAAUCUGAAGCAGGCUCUGCACUGACAGACCUCAAACCCACGAUCUGUGAGAUUGUGACCUGAGCGGAAGUCGGACACUCAACCAGCUGAGCCACCCAGGCGCAUCUCAUAUGCAACAGAGAACGGAGGUCCCUUUUUGAGAAGACCCGAGACAAUGAUGCGCUUCCACGCCAGAAUGGGAAGAAAUGGUCCAAGAGAGCAAAACAGAAGUAAGAGCAAAAGUGAAGGGGAGCAGUGGGCUUGACGUCCAUUUUGAUAUCACUGAGGCCCGGGUAGAUCUUUCUGCUUUGAGAUGAACUGCUGUAGUAUAUCCUGCUGCUGGACAGAAGUGGUAAGAACCUUCUGCCCAGGCAGUGGAAUGACUCUUUGGCCAGCCAACUUGACAUUCAUUGAUUCUCCUAUCGGGACGAUGUUCGUGUUCAAUUUCCUCCAUAGUCACCCCUGACAUGUUUACUGGGAGAUGAAAUGUGAUCCUUUUGGGAAGCACAGCUUUUGUGAUCCACUUCCUAAUGUAACAAAUACCAAGGUCAAGGCUUAGGGGUUAGGCAUGUAGGCUAUUGUCAGACAACCCGGGGCUUUCUUUGGCAAUAGAGGUCCCUUAAAAACUUAGGAGUUUCAUCUCUUUGCUUCUAGGAAUUUCAUUGGGCACUCAGGUACCCAGAGUUAGGUGUCUUCUCUGCCUCUGUGCCAUGUUCACUCCCUGGCAUAAAGUUUAACUUCCUCACCUUGGGUUAUUUCAAGCAUUGGAUCAUUUGCAAAAGCAGCAACAAUAAUCCUCUCCUUGACCCCAUACUUCAUUCUAGAUACAGCUUCCCAGGGAACAGGGAGUACUUACAAGAAGGUGGCAGAAAGAGGCCUGUGACAACAGGCUCAUCUUUCCCCUCAGUGUUGUCUGUUUCUCAGUCUUCUGCAUCUUCCAUGUCUAACUGUAGCUUGGGUGGACAACACAGCCUUUCUGACCUUGAACAUCUCCAGAUUCUUGGCCCUGCAUUCAACUUGGAUUUUAGGGCAAGAGCACAAAAGGCCUCCUUUUAAUAAACCUGUGUGGUUUUCUCUCUCUGCUUUUGGAGUUCAGUUAAGCCUAAACUUACCUCUUAUAAGACCUUGCUGAUGGCUAAAAGAAGUGGUUAAAAGCAUACCAACAGCCUGCAUUUUUCUACCACUUCUCCUAACGAAUCAGCCCCCUCUGGCACAUCGUCUCUGCCCUAAAGUAUAAUCAGCUGCAUUUCAGUACAGUGUUCCCCAGCUGUAUCACUAGAGUAAGUCAUUUGCUAAAUGGGGGUAACAGACCCUCCUAACUGAUAGACAUAGAGGACUGGGCCAUGCUGGGAGUGACUUUGGUCUGCUAUGCAAAUCUGUGCUGGCUGUUUCUAUUAGGAU